UAAAUAAAGUACUUGUGGUUUUCAUGUGAAAUUAUGAAAACAGUUUCUACCCCUCAUGGUAGUUUGUUUUUAAAGGAAAAAGUUUUCGUAUGGAAUACGGUUUUAAAAAGGGUUUUUCGCUUUUCAUAAUUUUUAGUAUUUCAAAAUGAGUUUUUAGGUGGGAAACGUUUUAAACUGAUAGGUGUGGAUUUAUGAAUAAAAUAUUGUAAUCUUGUGACUGACCGAAUGUGAUUCGUAUUAUGUGAUGUGGUGAAUGUAUAUAGUUGUAUAUAUACUAUGGUUGUAUCUUGUACUUAUGUGACGCCGUGUAAAUAUAGAGGAGACCCUGUCCGUGUGAACAGUGGGUUUUCUAUAUUUGUAGC
rnacentral:lncRNA from 1 species